AUGCGGGACUCAUCAGAGGCCUCGCAAUUGGAAUGAGCGCACUUUAAAUCGUUCGACGAGGAUCUAUUGGAGGGCAAGUCUGGUGCCAGCAGCCGCGGUAAUUCCAGCUCCAAUAGCGUAUAUUAAAGUUGUUGCAGUUAAAAAGCUCGUAGUCGGAUCUGGGGUUCGGGUCGGCGGUUUGCCGCUUCGGCGGCUACUGCCGUGCUCGACUCUUACUAGCCGGUGCGUCUUGCGGUGCUCUUCAUCGAGUGCCGUAGGAGCCUGGCAUGUUUGCUUUGAAAAAAUUAGAGUGCUCAAAGCAGGCGAUUCCGCCUGAAUAGUGUUGCAUGGAAUAAUGGAAUAGGACCUCGGUUCUAUUUUGUUGGUUUUCGGAACUUGAGGUAAUGAUUAAGAGGGACGGUCGGGGGCAUUCGUAUUUCGGUGUUAGAGGUGAAAUUCUUGGAUCGCUGAAAGACGGACAAAUGCGAAAGCAUCUGCCAAGAACGUCUCCAUUAAUCAAGAACGAAAGUCAGAGGUUCGUAGACGAUCAGACACCGUCCUAGUUCUGACCAUAAACGAUGCCAACUAGCGAUCCGCAGUGGUUGCUAUAAACGGACUCUGCGAGCAGCUUCCGGGAAACCAAAGUGUUUGGGUUCCGGGGGAAGUAUGGUUGCAAAGCUGAAACUUAAAGGAAUUGACGGAAGGGCACCACCAGAGUGGAGCCUGCGGCUUAAUUUGACUCAACACGGGGAAACUCACCCGGUCCGGACACUGUAAGGAUUGACAGAUCGAGAGCUCUUUCUUGAUUCGGUGGAUGGUGGUGCAUGGCCGUUCUUAGUUGGUGGAGUGAUUUGUCUGGUUAAUUCCGAUAACGAACGAGACUCUAGCCUGCUAACUAGUUGCGCCGUGUUCAUACGCGGCUGUAGACUUCUUAGAGGGACAGGUGGCGUUUAGCCACACGAAAUUGAGCAAUAACAGGUCUGUGAUGCCCUUAGAUGUCCGGGGCCGCACGCGCGCUACACUGAAGGAGUCAGCGUGUGCUAUCCGGGCUCGGAAGAGUUCGGUAACCCGUUGAAACUCCUUCGUGCUUGGGAUUGUGGCUUGUAAUUAUCGCGCAUGAACGAGGAAUUCCCAGUAAGUGCAAGUCAUCAGCUUGCGCUGACUACGUCCCUGCCCUUUGUACACACCGCCCGUCGCUACUACCGAUUGAAUGGUUUAGCAAGGUACUCGGAUUGGUCUCGAUCUUGUACGAAAGUGCGGGAUCUGUGGCCGAGAAGAAGGCCAAACUUGAUCAUUUAGAGGAAGUAAA
rnacentral:rRNA from 1 species